UUUUUAUCAUACGAAUUGGAACUGCAUUAAAAGUUCAGUGGCCAAGAUGAAAUAGAUACAGAGUUGCAAGCCCAACCACCAACUCAGCCUAUAAUACCAUAUCCAACCCAACAUCCCCAACCCAAACCCAAAUCAUGAAGCACUGUCAAACCGCUCAUCUCCUAUUAAGUCAGGCACCGACCAUCAUCUUUCAUGACCAACGACACUGAAGAAGAACAAAGAAAAUAUCACAUUAGAAAAGAAAGAAAACAUGCACUCAAAAGAUGUAAUACUCAGAAAGAACAACAAACCACAAGUCCAGAACAACAUGCAAUCAAUCUGACAGCCAAAAAGCAAAAUCCACGUUUCAAAAAAUCCUACCAUUAAAAUCAUAAAAUACUAUCAAAGAAAUAAAAUCUACAAAACCAAAAAAAGAACCGCAACGCAAAAAAAACCAAAAGAAAAUAGAGGGCUUUGCCACCCAAAAGCGACCGAACCCAUCCGCAAAAGGACACCACCUCGCUCUCCCUCUCUUCUUCUUUCUUCUCUCUUCAACAUAGAGUAUGGAAACUGAGGAAGCUUCCGGGACCAGAUGACAUAUAUGGUGAAAUCAAUCAAUUGGCAUUGGUAGGGUCCCCGUAAAUAAAUAUAUUCUCG
rnacentral:lncRNA from 1 species